rnacentral:rRNA from 1 species
CCUACGGGAGGCAGCAGUGAGGAAUAUUGGUCAAUGGCCGGAAGGCUGAACCAGCCAUGCCGCGUGAAGGUCAGUGCCCUAUGGGCGUUAAACUUCUUUUGUCAGGGAGCAACGCCGGCUACGUGUAGCCGGACGGAGAGUACCCUAAAGAAAAGCCUCGGCUAACUCCGUGCCCGCAGCCGCGGUAAUACGGAGGAUGCGGGCGUUAUCCGGAUUUAUUGGGUUUAAAGGGUGCGUAGGCGGAAUGCCAAGUCAGCGGUAAAAUCUCGGGGCUCAACCUCGCUCCGCCGUUGAAACUGGUGUUCUUGAGUGGGCGAGAAGUAUGCGGAAUGCGUGGUGUAGCGGUGAAAUGCAUAGAUAUCACGCAGAACUCCGAUUGCGAAGGCAGCAUACCGGCGCCCAACUGACGCUGAAGCACGAAAGCGUGGGUAUCGAACAGGAUUAGAUACCCGUGUAGUC